GUAGGUGGCAAGCGUUGUCCGGAUUUAUUGGGUUUAAAGGGUGCGUAGGCGGCCCUGUAAGUCAGUGGUGAAAUACGGCAGCUCAACUGUCGAGGUGCCAUUGAUACUGCGGGGCUUGAGUGUUGAUGAGGUAGGCGGAAUUGACGGUGUAGCGGUGAAAUGCUUAGAUAUCGUCAAGAGCACCGAUAGCGAAGGCAGCUUACCAAGCAAUAACUGACGCUGAGGCACGAAAGUGCGGGGAUCAAACAGGAUUAGAUACCCUGGUAGUCCGCACAGUAAACGAUGAUUACUCGAUGUUGGCGAUACACAGCCAGCGUCUUAGCGAAAGCGAUAAGUAAUCCACCUGGGGAGUACGCCCGCAAGGGUG
rnacentral:rRNA from 1 species